UUUCCGUAGGUGAACCUGCGGAAGGAUCAUUACAGAGUUCAUGCCCUCACGGGUAGAUCUCCCACCCUUGAAUAUUUAUACCUUAGUUGCUUUGGCAGGCCGUGGAAACACCAUGGGCUCCGGCUUAUGCGCGACUGCCAGAGGAAACAAACUCUGUUUUUAGUGAUGUCUGAGUACUAUAUAAUAGUUAAAACUUUCAACAACGGAUCUCUUGGUUCUG
rnacentral:misc_RNA from 1 species